UUUCUAUGGAAGCUUGCUUCCACUGAGAAGAUAGUGGCGAACGGGUGAGGUAACACGUGGGUAACCUGCCCAUAAGAGGGGGGAGUAACAUCCGGAAACGGGUGCUAAUACUGCAUAGUUUUCUUGAUCGCAUGAUUGAGAAAGGAAAGACGGCCUUUGUGCUGUCGCUUAUGGAUGGACCCGCGGCGUAUUAGUUAGUUGGUGAGGUAACGGCUCACCAAGACGAUGAUACGUAGCCGACCUGAGAGGGUGAUCGGCCACAUUGGGACUGAGACACGGCCCAAACUCCUACGGGAGGCAGCAGUAGGGAAUCUUCCGCAAUGGACGAAAGUCUGACGGAGCAACGCCGCGUGAGUGAAAGAAGGUUUUCGGAUCGUAAAACUCUGUUGUCAGAGAAGAACAAGUUGGAGAGUAACUGCUCCAGCCUUGACGGUAUCUGACCAGAAAGCCACGGCUAACUACGUGCCAGCCGCCGC
rnacentral:rRNA from 1 species